UGCCAGCAGCCGCGGUAAUACGAAGGGGGCUAGCGUUGUUCGGAAUUACUGGGCGUAAAGCGCGCGUAGGCGGUCAGGUAAGUUGGAGGUGAAAGCCCGGAGCUCAACUCCGGAACUGCCUUCAAAACUGCCAGACUAGAGGCAGGGAGAGGAGAGUGGAAUAUCCAGUGUAGAGGUGAAAUUCGUAGAUAUUGGAUGGAACACCAGUGGCGAAGGCGACUCUCUGGCCCUGAUCUGACGCUAAGGCGCGAAAGCGUGGGGAGCAAACAGGAUUAGAUA
rnacentral:rRNA from 1 species